rnacentral:lncRNA from 1 species
GCUCUGCAACUCGUUUGACAUAGAAGCUAGAACAUAGCACUUCAUUCUAAAGUCAUCAUUCAUCCACUUGUCCAGAGUAGCUCUUUGCUCUGCUGUAAGAUGGGUUGGUAAGACUAAGACGUCCUAAUCGAGUACAUACUCAAUCUUUUCGAAUGUCAGGACUAUCAUGAGAUUUUUGAGCCAGUCCUUAUAACUUGUACCAGUAAGUCGAUUGGUUUCAAGGAUAUAGGUUAGUGAGUUAAAGGCCCACAUUGUUUAUCUAUGAAAGUAGA